UUUAUGAUUUGUGCAAAUCAUAAUAGUUUUAGGAGUAAAAAUUAUGUAAAAACAGAGAGGGGGGUGAAACAGGGCAGAUAAUCACAGAAAGAAGAAAUAGGAUCAGUCCAUCAAAGCUGAGGCAUCUGGUUUUUUUGAAUCCCAAUCUUCACUGAGGACAUUAAUACUGUUUGCUUGAGUUUGGUUCUAGUUCUGUUCUGUGGAUUUAUUUGCUGUUUUUUUGUUAAUUUGUGCAAAAAAUGUUUGAUUAAAAUAUUAAACAAAACAAACAAAAGAAUGGUUUUGUAACAAAAUAAAUGCACAAAAUUAGGCAAUUAUAAGGAUUCUCAUAAAAACACUGCACAUGAAAGGGUUUUCAACACACAAACCAUUAAUUUUUGCAAAGUUAUGGUAAAAUAAAGGCCUACAAAAAAAUUCUAAAUUAAGAGCCGUUCAGGAGUCGAAAGAGCCGGCUCUUCUUUGGGAGCUGAGCCAAAAGAGCCGGUUCUCUGAAAAGAGCCGAACUUCCCAUCACUAGAUGGCGAUAGCGCACCCAAUGAACGGUUAUUAAAUAGAAGUUUCCUGUUCCAGCGUUGCUUCCUGGUUGCUUCUGUAGAUGCUAUGUUAGCACAAGCUCGUGUCUGUAACAGUACUGUAUCAAAAAUAUGAAGCUCUUUACCACUGUCAUCGCAUUAUUUACAGUCGCUGUGUGUGUUCCUCCGUUGAAUUAUGAGGCAACUGAAGGAGAGAAUGUUACUAUCUCCUUCAAAACUGCUGGACUGGAGAGAGCCGAUCAAGUGAAGAUAACUUGGACCAGAGGAAGUCAGAAAAAACUGAUUGCGCAGUACUGUCGCUGUGUCCAUCGUGGAGACUGUAGUGUCAGGGAAACAUCGGGAGUCUUACUGAGAGCUGAAGAAGGAACCGUAACUCUUCUGCGUGUCAGCUCCAAUAACUCAGGCCUCUAUGAAGUAAUAAUCAUUGGGAAAAAUGUUUCUAGGAUAAAUGCCUCACUUGUUGUCAACGAACCUCUGUUGUCCUCCAGUAAUGAGCCACCACAAUCCUCCAUCACAAACCCUCCAGACUCCUCUGAACGCCAAAGGCUUUAUGUGUUAAUUGCUUCAGUUGUAUUCAUCUUGGUGGUCUUGGGGGGUUUGUUUCGUCUGUACAUUUUCAGGAGGAAAUGUAAGUCAUCAGCUGAUGUUGAAGCAGUGUGCUGAACCGCUGCUGUCUCCAG
ensembl:lncRNA